CCGGUUGAUCCUGCCAGAGGUUACUGCUAUCGAGAUUCGACUAAGCCAUGCGAGUCGAAUGUUCUUCGUGAACAUGGCGGACUGCUCAGUAACACGUGGACAACCUACCCUUGGGUCUGGCAUAAUCCUGGGAAACUGGGUAUAAUUCCAGAUAGGUCACAGAUGCUGGAAUGCACUGUGGCCGAAAGCUCCGGCGCCCAAGGAUGGGUCUGCGGCCUAUCAGGGUAGUAGUGGGUGUAGCGUACCUACUAGCCUACGACGGGUACGGGUUGUGAGAGCAAGAGCCCGGAGAUGGAUUCUGAGACACGAAUCCAGGCCCUACGGGGUGCAGCAGGCGCGAAAACUUUACAAUGCUGGCAACAGCGAUAAGGGAACCUCGAGUGCCAGGUUACAAAUCUGGCUGUCGAGAUGCCUAAAAAGCAUUUCAUAGCAAGGGCCGGGCAAGACCGGUGCCAGCCGCCGCGGUAACACCGGCGGCUCGAGUGGUAACCGUUAUUAUUGGGUCUAAAGGGUCUGUAGCCGGCCGGAUAAGUCUCUUGAGAAAUCUGGCAGCUUAACUGUCAGGCUUUCAGGAGAUACUGCUAGGCUUGGGACCGGGAGAGGUGAGAGGUACCUUGGGGGUAGGGGUGAAAUCUUGUGAUCCUCGGGGGACCACCAGUGGCGAAGGCGUCUCACCAGAACGGGUCCGACGGUAAGGGACGAAAGCUAGGGGCACGAACCGGAUUAGAUACCCGGGUAGUCCUAGCCGUAAACGAUGCUCGCUAGGUGUCAGUCACGGUGCGACCGUGAUUGGUGCCGUAGGGAAGCCGUGAAGCGAGCCACCUGGGAAGUAUGGCCGCAAGGCUGAAACUUAAAGGAAUUGGCGGGGGAGCACUACAACGGGUGGAGCCUGCGGUUUAAUUGGAUUCAACGCCGGG
rnacentral:rRNA from 1 species